UACGUAGGGGGCAAGCGUUGUCCGGAUUUAUUGGGCGUAAAGCGCACGCAGGCGGUCUUUCGCGUUUUGAGUGACAGGUGGGGGCUUAACUCCCACAGGACUCAGAAGACGGGAAGACUUGAGGGCUUCAGAGGGACGCGGAAUUCCAGGUGUAGCGGUGAAAUGCGUAGAUAUCGUAAGGAAGACCAGUGGCGAAGGCGGGUCUCUGGACAGUUCCUGACGCUGAGGCACGAAGGCCAGGGGAGCAAACGGG
rnacentral:rRNA from 1 species